UUCCAUGUAUUGUAGCUUGAUUUCCCUUUAAAGAAGUAAUAAAGCUUUGUGAUUUUCUCUAUUGUGUUAUCCUUUACAUGUGAUUGUGAACGUAAAUUGUUAAGUAUUUCUCACAAUGAAUAAGCACGAUUAACUAAAAGAGCUUUGCAUUAGCAUAAAAAUAAGAUCAUUCAUACAUCAUUUUCAUCUUUCAAAACAUAAA
rnacentral:lncRNA from 1 species